rnacentral:rRNA from 1 species
GAGGAAAAGAAACCAACAGGGAUUGCCCUAGUAACGGCGAGUGAAGCGGCAACAGCUCAAAUUUGAAAUCUGGCCUCGGCCCGAGUUGUAAUUUGCAGAGGAUGCUUCUGGCGCGGUGCCUUCCGAGUUCCCUGGAACGGGACGCCACAGAGGGUGAGAGCCCCGUAUGGUCGGACACCAAGCCUGUGUGAAGCUCCUUCGACGAGUCGAGUAGUUUGGGAAUGCUGCUCUAAAUGGGAGGUAAAUCUCUUCUAAAGCUAAAUACCGGCCAGAGACCGAUAGCGCACAAGUAGAGUGAUCGAAAGAUGAAAAGCACCUUGAAAAGGGGGUUAAAUAGUACGUGAAAUUGUUGAAAGGGAAGCACUUGUGACCAGACUUGGGCCGGGCGGCUCAUCAGGGGUUCUCCCCUGUGCACUCUGCCCGGCACAGGCCAGCAUCGGUUCUCGUGGGGGGAUAAGACUGUCAGGAACGUAGCACCCUCCGGGGUGUGUUAUAGCCUGGCGGACGAUACCCCCGUGGGGACCGAGGUUCGCGCUCCGCAAGGCAUGCUGGCGUAAUGGUCACCAGUGACCCGUCU